rnacentral:lncRNA from 1 species
CUCAAGGGGCCCUUUGUUGGUGGCUGCCAGUUUCACUUCCUGACCACCUGUCCAAGAGUCUCAGAGUCCAUGAAACAGCAACAGGAAGGUGAACAUCAAGAUACAUGCUGCUCUGGGAAGGGAAUGACCUUGCGUGAAGUGGCUGAAGCUGACCCUGAAGGAGCUGACAGCUGGAGGCUCUGUGCUCACUGUAGUCCGUUCAUCUGGGUAGCAGGUCUUCCUUGAAAGGGGAUCAAGGGUUGCUGUUAUGGCAUAUUGAUGUGGAGUACAAAAAGUGUCCUUCCUCUAG